AAACAGAUUGGAGGGCAGGCGAGUGGUUUCCCUGGCUGUUAGAGCCUAUGGAGAUCACCUUGUUCCUUUCACAUGCUGCCCUGGCUGCUGGGAGCUGUGGAACGUGAGCAAGUAGGCAGUGGGGAGGGGGCAGUCAAGUCUGCCUAGACGUACAUGCAGUUCCCAUAAUCGGUCCUUUUGAAAACUUCCCACUGGCCAUAUCGAACAAGCAUCUGUACCCACAAUAAGAGUGAGUUCCCUGCAUUUGCCAUCUUGUCUCAACUAACACCACCUACAGAAGCUGACAAUGACUGUUGGGCUUUUCCAGUGGAUGCCGGAACCCAUUUCUUGCAGCCUGGGGGGGGAAGGCAGAAUAACUGGCAGCAGGAGGAACCUGGAGAAGAUGUGGGGAUGGUGGUAAUCCAAAGAAGGAGCCUUAACCUGAGCACCUGUCUUAGGAGGCAGACCCCCCCUACCCUAGUGGGAGUGAAUGUUGCCCUGCAACCUGGGUCCUCAGAUGCUCUCUUAGGCAACACCUUGGUUUCAGAUGUGUCCUCCAGACCUACCACAGAUGGAUGCCCCACACUCUAACCCAAUAUCCCCAAGGAUUAGAACCCUGAACUCCUUUCUCCCAUGCCCACUGCGUGGCAGGCCCAUACAGAAGCAAAACAUGGUCACCUUUAGACUCUGGCAUACUGAGGCCAGGCCCUGACCCUGUCGGCCUCACCUUCCUGCCAGUUGAUUACUCAAUAAAAAUAUUGUUAAAUAGAA